rnacentral:rRNA from 1 species
GGGAUUUGGGGGGGGCCUAACACAUGCAGUCGAGCGGUUGACGGGAGCUUGCUCCCUGAUUCAGCGGCGGACGGGUGAGUAAUGCCUAGGAAUCUGCCUAUUAGUGGGGGACAACGUUUCGAAAGGAACGCUAAUACCGCAUACGUCCUACGGGAGAAAGCAGGGGACCUUCGGGCCUUGCGCUAAUAGAUGAGCCUAGGUCGGAUUAGCUAGUUGGUGGGGUAAAGGCUCACCAAGGCGACGAUCCGUAACUGGUCUGAGAGGAUGAUCAGUCACACUGGAACUGAGACACGGUCCAGACUCCUACGGGAGGCAGCAGUGGGGAAUAUUGGACAAUGGGCGAAAGCCUGAUCCAGCCAUGCCGCGUGUGUGAAGAAGGUCUUCGGAUUGUAAAGCACUUUAAGUUGGGAGGAAGGGUUGUAGAUUAAUACUCUGCAAUUUUGACGUUACCGACAGAAUAAGCACCGGCUAACUCUGUGCCAGCAGCCGCGGUAAUACAGAGGGUGCAAGCGUUAAUCGGAAUUACUGGGCGUAAAGCGCGCGUAGGUGGUUUGUUAAGUUGGAUGUGAAAGCCCCGGGCUCAACCUGGGAACUGCAUCCAAAACUGGCAAGCUAGAGUACGGUAGAGGGUGGUGGAAUUUCCUGU